GUUAAAGUCUACUUUGAAAAAAAAGAGAACAAAAGACCUCUUGUUAGUCCUGGAAGUUUGCCUCCUAAGAUAUCACUGAGGGGAACUGGGAAGAGAGAGAAAAAAAGAAAGCCAGCAGGGCAGAGGAAGCUGCAGGCCUUCAGAAACACAGCCGCACUCUGGAAAGGAAAACAUACUGCCUUUCAUCUCCAGGCCUAUCUGCACCAGCCGCUCCCUCUGCCGCUGUCUUAUGGACCACUGCAGGACACAGGCCAGUGCCCGAUUCCCACACUGACACUGCCGGGGUUAUAGCAGAGUAGACAGAUGUCCACAUCUAACCAUCCCUAGGUGCAAGAUGAGGGAAUAGAGGGAAGAGGGGGUCCCACCCAAUAGAACUUGCUGUCCACUGGAUGUUGUUCUGACAGUGUCUAUGACAACCCAUCUCAACGCCCAUGAGCUUAAUGUGCCACUACCUGGGUCCAGGAGAAAGGAGAAGCAAGCUGGCCCCACUCUAUUUGGGAAAUCUGCUCCAUUCAGUCUUAUAGAGGAGCCACAGGGCCAGUAGACUGAGUGGACUUUUCCAGGCUGUACACUAAAGCUAUCAGGACUCAAGCACCUGAGAGCUCAAUCCCACCCUCUUCAAGUGAAACGAGAAGGUCAAGGAAAGACAAGACAAGAGGAGUUCUCUCCCACACCCUGCCUUUAGAUCAUUAAACAUGUGCCUAUUAUCACUCUAUGGAAAUAUUCCUCCCACUCGUGACCGCCCAAAUGGUGGGGUGGGUCUGUACUGUGAUUGCCCAUCCUGGAAUUGAUACACUGCACCUUGACUUCAAGAAGCUGCAUGGAGAGAGAGGUGCUUAUGCUGGGUCACAGAUGGGGAAGGUGAUACCCCUGAGAUCCUGCACGGAGCCUUCCGGCUUGCCCCCAUGGCUGCCAGACCACACCAUGAAGAACUCUGUAAAUGGAUUCAUCAAAGCAGGCAAAACGAGCCUCUUGACAGAAGUCAACCCGUUUCUUCUGACUCCCACUUUGUCACCCACAUCCUUCCCGGGAAUCUUCUUGCCCACUCUAAUCUCUCCAGUCCCAGCUCUUACAACGCCGUUCCUCACAUCCCCCGAUGGUCCUCCACCACCUCUUUUGCUUUGGUUCUUGCUGCCUCUCCAGUGCCCAGGAGUGUGCAUUUGCUGA
rnacentral:lncRNA from 1 species